AGGCGGGCCCGUCCUCUCCCACUCCGCUCCUCCCUCUCCCGGACUCGCCUGGGCUGCCCGGCGCCGGAGGACUACUCAACCUGAGUGCCCUGCGAGCCCCUUGAGGGACUCCCCUAGGGGAGGAAAACCGGUCACCCUGGAGGCUAAAGUGGUGAGCGUGCUGCUGGCGGGGCCCGGUCAGCGCCUGCCAUGGGGACCUGGCGCGUGCGGCACCUGAUGUCAUCGUCUUUGAGACUUGAGGAUGUGUUGGAUGUCUCCUGAAUUCAAAAAAUGAAAUCCACAGGCACAAAGGGCUUCUUCUGCCCAGGAUGGUGGCCCAGCAGCAGCUCCGUCCAGGCUGGUGAAGCAAACUCCUCCAUCCACUCUGGUCCUAUGUCCACAAGGAGCCAACUCCCUGAGGAAUUCAUGAGCAGCCCCACCAAUGUGCUUGCUGACAGGUACUCCGUGUCCUCCUGGCCUCCUGGGGCCCUGCUGCAGGAAGAGGCCCCUCUAAUGCCUAGGUUGUGACUCAUCUUUGGUUCUGAGGAGUGGACACCCACCACGUGACAUGCAUUAUGGGUUUUCCAGUUGUUUAGAGAAAAUCCAUGGGAAGUGUUCAUGUAGAUCAGCCCUCACAAUGUGACACUGUGGAACUGGCCCCGAGUUUGCUGACCUGUGUCUUCAACGGCAUGGCAGAAUUCACCUCCCUCCAUGUCCAGCCAGCAAGGCCCAUGACCUCUGCAGGGAUUGUCCAAGUGCUCUUCUCUUCCACGUUGCUUUUCAAGUAUUUUGAAUAUUUUGAAAUAUCAAUCAAUGUGUAGGUUAAAUGCCCUUGUUAAUCAUGCAAGAAAAUUAAUCUUGGAAAUGCAAGAACAAACACCCUAGCACAUAUUCACACAGGCCUCGAGUGAUGUCCGGGACUCCAUGGAAACAAGAAGGAGAGGGAUUCCCAGUGGGGAAGACACUGGAAGUGCAGCAUGCAGUGACCUUGUGGAAGGAAAGGGCAGCAGAGGUGCUGCAGGCUGGAGGAAGGAGAAGGAAAGGGCUGUCGGGCCGCAGGACACAGCGUUCACCAGGCUGAACGGGAACACGGGGGAGGAUUUUCCCAAAUGAAUCCGGGCUGCCUCGCGCUCCGGGAAAUGCUCCUCCAGCCAACCUUCCAUCCCUUUCCUGCUUGUUACUUGUUUAACUUCAGGAUAAAGUAAAAUUUCCGGGAACCUGGGAGACAGAGCAGGCCAGUGGUGGGAUCACUGCAGGGAAGCUGUCCACCUGGGUGGGCGCUGCUGGGGGAUGCUUCCCUCUGCCUCCGAGUUGGUGCCAGGGAGCAAAGGACGGAGUAGACUUUGGUUAGUCUUUGUCGGCUACACAUCACCUGAAAAUUGUCCAAUUUUUCCUAAGCCUUGUGCUGCUAGAGGAAAGGAGCACCAGUGAACCCCAAGGUGUCUUAUUUCUCAAGUUUGAGGCCCCUAUGCACAGAAGGAAGUGAAAUAAUAGGUCAUGGAAGGUUCCCUGUCCUCUGGUCAGUUGAAGUUGGAUUCAAGUUGACCACCUAUCAAAACACCACAUCUAACCUCAACUAAUUGGAAAAGAAAGGCGUUUCUACCAACAUGUCACCAGAGAGGCGAAGAGAGAGAACACAGAGCCCGUUAGCCUAGAGGACGUAACGAUAGCUAGGCAGAGGUCUUCAUGUGCUCAUUCUGCAUUCAUCUGUUACCACUUUAUUAAAUAUCAAUGGAAGUUGAUUUAGACUUUAAAACUUGAAGGCAGUUUCAACUUUCAAUCAACCAGUCAAGCAAACAAUAAUUAAUUUCUGGCUAAGCCCUAGACUAUGGGAAGAGAGGCAUGGUAAGAAUCUAUCAUGUAAAUUCAUAGCCAAGAAAAUAAAGAGAUAAAAUGUGAUUGAAAACACAGAACCUCAA